rnacentral:rRNA from 1 species
UAGCGACAGGCCUAACACGUGCAAGUCGAGGGGCAGCACAAGGAGCAAUCUGAGGUGGCGACCGGCGCACGGGUGAGUAACACGUAUGCAACCUGCCUGUAAGCGGGGAAUAACCCGUUGAAAGACGGACUAAUACCGCAUAAUACUAAAUUACUGCAUGGUAAUUUAUUUAAACAUUUAUGGCUUACAGAUGGGCAUGCGCAUGAUUAGCUAGUUGGAGAGGUAACGGCUCCCCAAGGCAACGAUCAUUAGGGGUUCUGAGAGGAAGGUCCCCCACACUGGUACUGAGACACGGACCAGACUCCUACGGGAGGCAGCAGUGAGGAAUAUUGGUCAAUGGACGAGAGUCUGAACCAGCCAAGUCGCGUGCAGGAAGAAUGUCCUAUUGGAUUGUAAACUGCUUUUGCAGGGGAAUAAAGUGCAUCACGUGUGAUGUUUUGUAUGUACUCUGCGAAUAAGGAUCGGCUAACUCCGUGCCAGCAGCAGC